GAGUGGCGAACGGGUGAGUAAUACAUCGGAACGUGCCUCGUAGUGGGGGAUAGCUCGGCGAAAGCCGGAUUAAUACCGCAUACGAUCCACGGAUGAAAGCAGGGGACCGCAAGGCCUUGCGCUAUGAGAGCGGCCGAUGUCCGAUUAGCUUGUUGGUGAGGUAAAGGCUCACCAAGGCGACGAUCGGUAGCUGGUCUGAGAGGAUGAUCAGCCACACUGGGACUGAGACACGGCCCAGACUCCUACGGGAGGCAGCAGUGGGGAAUUUUGGACAAUGGGGGCAACCCUGAUCCAGCCAUGCCGCGUGAGUGAAGAAGGCCUUCGGGUUGUAAAGCUCUUUUGGCCGGAAAGAAAAGGCGUCGGAUAACACCCGGCGUUCUUGACGGUACCGGCAGAAUAAGCACCGGCUAACUACGUGCCAGCAGCCGCGGUAAUACGUAGGGUGCGAGCGUUAAUCGGAAUUACUGGGCGUAAAGCGUGCGUAGGCGGUCCCGCAAGUCCGCUGUGAAAGCCCCGAGCUUAACUUGGGAACUGCAGUGGAAACUAUGGGACUUGAAUCCGGCAGAGGGGGGUGGAAUGCCACGUGUAGCAGUGAAAUGCGUACAGAUGUGGCGGAACACCGAUGGCGAAGGCUGCCCCCUGGGCCGAGAUUGACGCUCAGGCACGAACGCGUGGGGAGCAAACAGGAUUAGAUACCCGUGGGUAGUCCACG
rnacentral:rRNA from 1 species